UACCAGCACCCCGAGUGUUCGGGACGAUUAUUGGGCCUAAAGCAUCCGUAGCCGGUUUUACAAGUCCUCCGUUAAAUCCAGCUGCUUAACAGAUGGGCUGCGGAGGAUACUAUAAGACUAGGAGGCAGGAGAGGCAAGCGGUACUCAGUGGGUAGGGGUAAAAUCCGUUGAUCCAUUGAAGACCACCAGUGGCGAAGGCGGCUUGCCAGAAUGCGCUCGACGGUGAGGGAUGAAAGCUGGGGGAGCAAACCGG
rnacentral:rRNA from 1 species